GAGUUUUCAUAUUCUUACUCUUUCUGUUUAAAUUGUUAACAAAUAUUGAUGAAGAACUAUAUUAAAACAAAAUUGAAAUUUUAAAGUUCUAAUUAUUAAAAUUAAAACUAUAGAGACCAAAGUAAAAUUAUGAUCAAAUUAUAGAGUUUAAUAGUGAGAUUUACCCAACAGAAUAAGAGGCGUAUUGAUAAUGGGCUUGCGAGUAUUUUCCUUUAGAAAAUUUUAAAAUAAAUUAAAAAAUUUAUAGUUAUUUGAGUCUCGUUUUCGGGUUUUUCGGGUUUUCAAAAAGAUUUAGAAACAAAAAAUGUUCAUAAACACGUUUGGUUAAGUUUGCUCUCUUUUCUUGACAGUUUCUAAACUUGUUUUUCAUAUUUUUUUUCAAAAAGUCUAUUUCGAAGAGAAUGUUUUCUCAUUAUUCAAAAUAAAUGAUUCAGAUACACUUGAAUGUGUGAAUUUCAUAUAACCAAAUGAAUCCGAAUAAUUCAUUUUGAAUUCUAAAAAUUUUUUUGGGUUAAAAUUAUAGACUGUAACAAUGCUGUUUGAGAAUUCCGAAAUAUCUAUUUUCGGUGUUCCACGAAAGUGGAUUGUUGUUAAAAGGCCUAACCAUAUGGGGUAAUCCUUGGAAAUAGACCCUACAAGGGCUCAUAACACUGUUUGGAUUCCGAAUUUGAAAAAAAAGAAAAUAUAAAUAAAAAAUUAAACGAUUUAAUCGGACCAUUAAAUUAUCUACUUUUUUCAUUUUUCAUUCUCUUUUUCCUCAUUAAAUCUUUGUUCCAAAUACAAACUAAGUAAUUUUUAUAUAGGCGGCCACUCAACUCAUAUAGCAGUAAGCUGCGGACUUCCGACUUGAUUUUUUUUUUUAAAUACCUUUUUUUUGGUUGCAGGUGGGUGGCCAAAUGCACCAGAUGGUCCAUAUGCAUGGAGAUAUUGCUUUAUUAGGGUAAGAGAUACCUCAAAUGACUAUUGUACCCCGCAGAGAAUAGCCAUGUGCGCCUGGAAGAAAAUACCAUGGCCAAGGAACCAUUCAACUCACUCAGUAAGCUCCCUGUUUGCCUCAUUAAUUGAAUUGGUUCUCAUUAAUAAUAGGCACCCAAAAUUUUACGCGAUAGUUAGUGAGGUAUACGGUAUAGAUUUAGAGUUAGUGUCAUGCAAGACAAACGAAAAAUAAUUUUUGUCUAUAUAUUUCCAAUUCUGGGUAUUUUCUAAGUAAAAAUCUUAGGUAGUAUUGUUGAUUGAUCAUCGAAAAUAACUUAUGUGCAGAAUUCUUCUGCAAAAAUAAUAUGGCUUUUUGUAAUUUUUCUGUGUCAAACUAAAAAUACUACUACAUUAGAUUUUGUGAAAUAAUAUUUUCAAUAAGACACAGCUUCUCUACAAUCCAAUUUUUUGGAAUGUACAAUAUAGUUCAAGUAUUUUGGAUCUCAUUUGGGGCCUAUUUGAAAAUUCAAACCAUUCAUUUUGUAAACUCCAUCAUGAAAAUUAAUACUGUAAAAAAUCAUAUUGAUGGAAUCUAAAUCAAUGUCUAUUUAGUAUUAUUUUAUAACUUAAUAAAUUAAUAUGCACAUGUGAUUAUAUUCAUUUAUAUUGAUAUAAAUUGAUAUUGAUCGAUUAUUUAUUUGUAUCCGAUCAACGUGAUCUUUUUACCGUAUUAAACUUCUCAAUGAGAUCUACAGUAUAAAUUGAUAUUGAUCGACUAUUUUCUUUUACAUUUCGGAUAAUCAAAAUCCGCAUAAAUUGAGUUUUCUAAAUAUAUAAUUUUUUGUAUUGUUCCAGUUAAUACUGGUAGAGACGGAGACCUGUUUUUAUGGUAAAGUCUGGAAUUCUAAAAAUAUAGGAACCAUAAAGCUGAGCUUGACCGUUGACUUUUUGACGUUUUCAGCAACUACAAGUAUGGUCAAGCAGGGUAGUCGGGGCGGAUCCCAUAAACAAUCCCGAUUUGGUAGCGGCUGACCCGACUAUGUCAUUUAAGGAGGCGUAUGGUUCUGGAUGACCCCGCGGGGGAGCAAGCCAUCAUCCCAUAAUGUCAUCAUCAGACCGGUCGACCGCCUAACAGGUCUGCUGGGUGGUCCCGGGCUACGGUUGUUUGUUAUCACCAACAUCAUCACGGCGGGCUCGAGUGGUUAAUGGACCCGAAUGGCCAAGGUGGCGAAUGGAUCGGGCUAUUAUAAAAAGGCUAUUGUUGACAUAUUUGGGUUGUGGGCUAUGGGACACAACCUUGAUUGUUGCAAUCAAAGGCACUUUGCCGUAAAUGUUUCCUUUGAUGGUCCAAUAUUACACUACUAAUCCUCAAUCAAUGUAUUUUAGGCAGGUUAAGAGACAACUACAAAGGAAAUAAGAGCUCGUGCUCUCUCGCGCUUGGCUCGGUUAGGCGUAUUGUGUGAUUAACCAUCAGCAGUUUAAACUACCAGCUAACAUCCGUCCUUUUGAAUUAUGUAAUGACACUUUUCCUAUUGUGUACUUAAAAAAACGAGUAGUAAUAAAUAAAAAAAAAUAAGCUGCCCAA
rnacentral:lncRNA from 1 species